rnacentral:rRNA from 1 species
UACCCGAGUAGCAGCGGGCCCGUGAAAUCUGCUGUGAAUCCGUCGGGACCACCCGAUAAGCCUGAAUACUCCCUGGUGACCGAUAGCGGACUAGUACCGUGAGGGAAAGGUGAAAAGUACCCCGGGAGGGGAGUGAAAUAGUACCUGAAACCGUGCGCUUACAAUCCGUCGGAGCCUUCGAGCAGUUUGGUCUGCUGGGGGUGACGGCGUGCCUUUUGAAGAAUGAGCCUGCGAGUUAGUGGCAUGUCGCGAGGUUAACCCGUGUGGGGUAGUCGUAGCGAAAGCGAGUCCGAACAGGGCGCAUCAGUGGCAUGUUCUAGACCCGAAGCGGAGUGAUCUACCCAUGGCCAGGGUGAAGCGACGGUAAGACGUCGUGGAGGCCCGAACCCACUUAGGUUGAAAACUGAGGGGAUGAGCUGUGGGUAGGGGUGAAAGGCCAAUCAAACUCCGUGAUAGCUGGUUCUCCCCGAAAUGCAUUUAGGUGCAGCGUCGCGUGUUUCUCACCGGAGGUAGAGCUACUGGAUGGUCUAGGGGGCCCACAAGCUUACCGAAAUCAGCCAAACUCCGAAUGCCGGUGAGUGAGAGCGCGGCAGUGAGACUGCGGGGGAUAAGCUUCGUAGUCGAGAGGGAAACAGCCCAGAUCGCCGGCUAAGGCCCCUAAGCGUGUACUAAGUGGAAAAGGAUGUGGGAUCGCUGAGACAACCAGGAGGUUGGCUUAGAAGCAGCCACCCUUGAAAGAGUGCGUAAUAGCUCACUGGUCAAGUGGUUCUGCGCCGACAAUGUAGCGGGGCUCAAGUACACCGCCGAAGCCGCGGCACUC